rnacentral:rRNA from 1 species
UGAACGCUGGCGGCAUGCCUAACACAUGCAAGUCGAACGGUAACAGGACUAGUUUACUAGUUGCUGACGAGCGGCGGACGGGUGAGUAACGCGUAGGAAUCUGCCCAAUAGCGGGGGAUAGCCCGGGGAAACUCGGAUUAAUACCGCAUACGCCCUAAGGGGGAAAGGCCGGGAUCUUCGGACCGGUUGCUAUUGGAUGAGCCUGCGUAAGAUUAGCUAGUUGGUAGGGUAAAGGCCUACCAAGGCGACGAUCUUUAGCUGGUCUGAGAGGAUGAUCAGCCACACUGGAACUGAGACACGGUCCAGACUCCUACGGGAGGCAGCAGUCGGGAAUAUUGGACAAUGGGCGAAAGCCUGAUCCAGCCAUGCCGCGUGUGUGAAGAAGGCCUUCGGGUUGUAAAGCACUUUAAGCAGGGAGGAAGGCUUGAUGGAUAAUACCCAUCAGGAUUGACGUUACCUGCAGAAUAAGCACCGGCUAACUCCGUGCCAGCCGCCGCGGUAAUUC